AGGAGAGUUUGAUCCUGGCUCAGGAUGAUCGCUACCGACAGGUUUAACACAUGCAAGUCGAGGGGCAGCGCGGGAGUGGCAACACUCCUGGCGGCGACCGGCGCACUGGUGAGUAACACGUAUGCGACCUGCCCCGGACAGGGGGAUAAACCCGGGAAACUGGGCCUAAUACCCCGUAUGCCCAGAGGCUGCAUGGUCUUUGGGUGAAAGAUCCGUCGGUCCGGGAUGGGCAUGCGGCGCAUUAGCUUGUUGGCGGGGCAACGGCCCACCAAGGCGACGAUGCGUAGGGGUUCUGAGAGGAAGGUCCCCCACACUGGUACUGAGACACGGACCAGACUCCUACGGGAGGCAGCAGUGAGGAAUAUUGGUCAAUGGACGCGAGUCUGAACCAGCCAAGUCGCGUGCGGGAUGAAGGCCCUCCGGGUCGUAAACCGCUUUAGCCGGGGAGUAACGUGGGGGACGCGUCCCUCAGUGAGAGUACCCGGAGAAUAAGCAUCGGCUAACUCCGUGCCAGCAGCCGCGGUAAUACGGAGGAUGCGAGCGUUAUCCGGAUUUAUUGGGUUUAAAGGGUGCGCAGGCGGCUUGUCAAGUCAGCGGUCAAAAUGCGGUGCUCAACGCCGUACCGCCGUUGAAACUGGCCGGCUGGAGUUCGUGGGAUGUGCGCGGAAUGCGCGGUGUAGCGGUGAAAUGCAUAGAUAUCGCGCAGAACCCCGAUUGCGAAGGCAGCGUCCAACCACGCGACUGACGAUCAUGCACGAAAGCGUGGGUAUCGAACAGGAUUAGAUACCCUGGUAGUCCU
rnacentral:rRNA from 1 species